UAAUGUGAGCACUAGGGACCAAACUCA
rnacentral:piRNA from 1 species